rnacentral:rRNA from 1 species
GAGCCGUAGGGAAACCGAGUCUUAAUAGGGCGCCAUAGUAUCAUGUUGUAGACCCGAAACCAUGUGACCUACCCAUGAGCAGGUUGAAGGUGAGGUAAAACUCACUGGAGGACCGAACCAGGGCACGUUGAAAAGUGCUUGGAUGACUUGUGGGUAGCGGAGAAAUUCCAAACGAACUUGGAGAUAGCUGGUUCUCUCCGAAAUAGCUUUAGGGCUAGCGUCGAUGUUAAGUCUCUUGGAGGUAGAGCACUGUUUGGGUGAGGGGUCCAUCCCGGAUUACCAAUCUCAGAUAAACUCCGAAUGCCAACGAGAUAUAAUCGGCAGUCAGACUGCGAGUGCUAAGAUCCGUAGUCGAAAGGGAAACAGCCCAGACCACCAGCUAAGGUCCCAAAAUAUAUGUUAAGUGGAAAAGGAUGUGGGGUUGCACAGACAACUAGGAUGUUAGCUUAGAAGCAGCUAUUCAUUCAAAGAGUGCGUAAUAGCUCACUAGUCGAGUGACCCUGCGCCGAAAAUGUACCGGGGCUAAAACAUAUUACCGAAGCUGUGGAUGACACAAAAGUGUCAUGGUAGGAGAGCGUUCUAUGUGUGAAGAAGGUGUACCGUGAGGAGCGCUGGAACGCAUAGAAGUGAGAAUGCCGGUAUGAGUAGCGCAAGACAGGUGAGAAUCCUGUCCACCGUAAGACUAAGGUUUCCAGGGGAAGGCUCGUCCGCCCUGGGUUAGUCGGGACCUAAGGAGAGACCGAAAGGUGUAUCCGAUGGACAACAGGUUGAUAUUCCUGUACUAGAGUAUAUAGUGAUGGAGGGACGCAGUAGGCUAACUAAACCAGACGAUUGGAAGUGUCUGGUCAAACAGUGAGGUGUGAUAUGAGUCAAAUGCUUAUAUCUUUAACAUUGAGCUGUGACGAGGAGCGAAGUUUAGUAGCGAAGUUAGUGAUGUCACACUGCCAAGAAAAGCUUCUAGCGAUACAUAUACUCUACCCGUACCGCAAACCGACACAGGUAGUCGAGGCGAGUAGCCUCAGGUGAGCGAGAGAACUCUCGUUAAGGAACUCGGCAAAAUGGCCCCGUAACUUCGGGAGAAGGGGCGCUGAUUUUAGAUCAGCCGCAGUGAAUAGGCCCAAGCAACUGUUUAUCAAAAACACAGCUCUCUGCUAAAUCGUAAGAUGAUGUAUAGGGGGUGACGCCUGCCCGGUGCUGGAAGGUUAAGAGGAGUGCUUAGCGUAAGCGAAGGUAUGAAUUGAAGCCCCAGUAAACGGCGGCCGUAACUAUAACGGUCCUAAGGUAGCGAAAUUCCUUGUCGGGUAAGUUCCGACCCGCACGAAAGGCGUAAUGAUUUGGGCACUGUCUCAACGAGAGACUCGGUGAAAUUUUAGUACCUGUGAAGAUGCAGGUUACCCGCGACAGGACGGAAAGACCCCAUGGAGCUUUACUGCAGUUUGAUAUUGAGUAUCUGUACCACAUGUACAGGAUAGGUAGGAGCCUAUGAUAACGGGACGCCAGUUUCGUUUGAGGCGUUGUUGGGAUACUACCCUUGUGUUAUGGCUACUCUAACCCAGAUAGGCAAUCCCUAUCGGAGACAGUGUCUGACGGGCAGUUUGACUGGGGCGGUCGCCUCCUAAAAGGUAACGGAGGCGCCCAAAGGUUCCCUCAGACUGGUUGGAAAUCAGUCGUAGAGUGUAAAGGUAUAAGGGAGCUUGACUGCGAGAGCUACAACUCGAGCAGGGACGAAAGUCGGGCUUAGUGAUCCGGUGGUUCCGUAUGGAAGGGCCAUCGCUCAACGGAUAAAAGCUACCCUGGGGAUAACAGGCUUAUCUCCCCCAAGAGUUCACAUCGACGGGGAGGUUUGGCACCUCGAUGUCGGCUCGUCGCAUCCUGGGGCUGUAGUCGGUCCCAAGGGUUGGGCUGUUCGCCCAUUAAAGCGGCACGCGAGCUGGGUUCAGAACGUCGUGAGACAGUUCGGUCCCUAUCCGUCGCGGGCGUAGGAAAUUUGAGAGGAUCUGCUCCUAGUACGAGAGGACCAGAGUGGACUUACCGCUGGUGUACCAGUUGUCUUGCCAAAGGCAUCGCUGGGUAGCUAUGUAGGGAAGGGAUAAGCGCUGAAAGCAUCUAAGUGCGAAGCCCACCUCAAGAUGAGAUUUCCCAUGAUUUUAUAUCAGUAAGAGCCCUGAGAGAUGAUCAGGUAGAUAGGUUAGGAGUGUAAUUGUGGUGACACAUUUAGCGGACUAAUACUAAUAGCUCGAGGACUUAUCCAAAA